ACGACCUUACUUGAACAGGAUCUGUUCUAUAGGCUCGUACCUCUGUAUCCUUGAUUUCUAAGGAGACAGGAAACCAUGUUUGGUUGAUGACCCAUGGCCGCUCGACCAGAGCGUGAUUAACCGAACUCACUGGCUCGCCCAGUCGACUCGGUAGAUGAUCGUUCUCGGUCAGCUCCCGCUGAUCGGGGUGGUCGAGCAGCUGUCUGACAGACA
rnacentral:snoRNA from 1 species